ensembl:lncRNA
UGUUUCAAGACGCACUCGUGAUGUGGACACGCCAGAGCGUCUUUAACUUUAAUCGAAAUGCCACGAGCGUGAAAGUCAUCAGGCUGUCACGGAUCUGCGCGUGGCCAUGACCGGCAUGAUAAAGAACCGGACGGCUUUUCUGCGAGGAAAACGGCUAAUGGGCGAAAGAUGAGGAGAAAAACAAUAGCAAAGCGCAUCCUGUACAAUGGAUACGAAGAGACACCCGAAGAAACCGGCGCGAGGGCGAACCACGUCCUCAGUCAAGAGCCGGCGAAGAGGAGAAAAUGGAGAGAACUAAAUGGAGAGGACAUCUCAUCUCGUAAUGCUGACUAUAUUAAGUUCAAAACAAAGGUGCUCGGAAGCCUCCAAUCACGUUCAAGGGCGGAGCUUAUUGCCAUGGUGUUGAGUAUGCAGAGGGAGAUGGACGGCCUUCGAGAGCAAAUCAGAAGCCUUACAGGGAAAGACGUGCAUCGAGCUGAAAGCUCACUAAAAACCAGCUCGUUCACAGAUCAUUUCAUGUUUCAAGAUCAUUUCAGUUUGAAGAAAAGUCCAGCAAGUUCAUGAGGAAACGUCACGUCAGCAAAAGAUUUAGUGUUACUGUG